rnacentral:rRNA from 1 species
UACGGAGGGUGCGAGCGUUAUCCGGAUUCACUGGGUUUAAAGGGUGCGUAGGUGGGAAUGUAAGUCAGUGGUGAAAUCUCUGAGCUUAACUCAGAAACUGCCAUUGAUACUAUGUUUCUUGAGUUCGGGAGAGGUUGAUGGAAUUCCAGGUGUAGCGGUGAAAUGCGUAGAUAUCUGGAAGAACACCAGUGGCGAAGGCGGUCAACUGGCCCGUAACUGACGCUCAGGCACGAAAGCGUGGGUAGCGAACAGG